CCAAAUGAUAACAAUUUCAGCUCCAAAUCACCAGCUCCGACCCGGCCCGUUUCCUCUAUCCUUUUACCCUUUAGCGUACACCAGCAACAUACGCAUAAACACCUUCAAGUUCAGCAUACAACCUACAGCCAAAACCAUCAACCAACGAUACCACCGUCAACCAAAACUGAACCCGACCCAUCAAUGACAACUCGAAGAACUGGCAACACUUCGACCCGACCCGAGCGGCUCCCACCAGCGAGCAACCAAAAACGUCAACAGUAGCCGACAACAACAACCUGACAACCCGAUUAUGGCCAAAUCAAUGAACCCGAACUCAACCCCAUCGACCCGCAUAAACAACAACAGCCACCAACAUUCAAAUUCGUACUUGUAUAGUACGAUUACAACUCAUCCUUAUCUCAUUAUUCAAAAUUUGAAAAUUUUACCCUUCUAAUAAGAUUCUAAAAUUACCCUUCGAUUUUCCUUUGUCCCACAUCGGUGAAAGGUGAAAUCCCUCCUAUUUGGUUUCCCUAUAAAUAGAUGGAGCAAAUUGAAGCAAGUCUUGGAAGGGGGAAAAGAUAUCCUUUCAAGCAAAGAGUGUUCUAUUUUUUAGUAAAAAUUUUCCUCGCGAAAAGCAGUAGACUAUUGGACGCUCUUGGAGUCGCUGUGAAGCUCCUUUCAGUGGUGGUCAGGAUUUCAGUGAAGACUCGAGUCCCAUUUUGCCGCUCCAAAAUAGUACAAAUGGACACUAUUCCCAUUGUUGCAUUAUCAAUGUGGGUCAUUGAGGCCCAUCCCUCAUGAGUCGAUUUCGAAGGCCCUAAAGAAACAAUUUCAUGGCAUAUGGAUACGAGAAGUCGGAAGAAGGAAAAUGGGUUAAAAUCCCAUUUUUGAAGUGGCUAAGAGACUUGAAAGUCUCAUUUUUUUAUUUCUUAUUGUUGUCUUUUUUAGUUAUCUAUUUAUUUUUUUUAUUUUAUUUAUUCAUUUAUUUGGCCUCGAAGCCAAAGUUCUAUUUAAGAGAGGUGAAGCGAAACUCGAACCAAAGGUUCGAAGAAUAGUUUAGGACAGGUGAAAUUGGGUUAGAAGUCUAAUUAGACUAGGACAGGGUGAUGGAUUUGGGCUUGAGAGCCCAAAUCAUUUAUUUCUCGAGCCCAAAUCAUUUAUUUCUUUCCCUCU